rnacentral:tRNA from 2 species
GGCGGAUUACCCGAGCGGCCAAAGGGGGCUGACUGUAAAUCAGCUGGCACAGCCUACGGGGGUUCGAAUCCCUCAUCCGCCA